CAAUAGCGUAUAUUUAAGUUGCUGCAGUUAAAAAGCUCGUAGUUGGAUUUCGGGUGGGAAUGGCCGGUCCGCCGUUUCGGUGUGCACUUGCUACGCCCACCUUGCUGCCGGGGAAGUGCUCUUGAGUUCACGCUCGGGACACGGAGUCGGCGAGGUUACUUUGAGUAAAUUAGAGUGUUCAAAGCAGGCCUACGCUCUGAAUACAUUAGCAUGGAAUAACACGAUAGGACUCUGGCCUAUCUUGUUGGUCUGUAGGACCGGAGUAAUGAUUAAGAGGGACAGUCGGGGGCAUUCGUAUUUCAUUGUCAGAGGUGAAAUUCUUGGAUUUAUGAAAGACGAACUACUGCGAAAGCAUUUGCCAAGGAUGUUUUCAUUAA
rnacentral:rRNA from 1 species